rnacentral:tRNA from 1 species
GCCCGGGUGGUGGAAUUGGCAGACACGCAUGACUUAGGAUCAUGUGCCGAAAGGCGUGGAGGUUCGAGUCCUCUCCCGGGUA